UGGAGAGAAAAGUUCUGCAGCUUCCCACAACAGAACUGGUUGUCUAUGGCAACACAACAAGCGCUCAACUGCGCAGCCGUGGGGAUGUCCGUGUCCGAGGGCAGAGGUGGGCCUCGAACAUGAAAAUUUCAACUGUGGGCCCCAAGUUCGAAAGGGUUGGGAACCCCUGGCUUACAUCAUUGGGCCUUCAAUUUUCUGCUCUCUUAAUAGCUAGGACCCAAUAAAUCUCUCUUUUGUGCUGUAGCUUAUAACA